rnacentral:lncRNA from 1 species
UUUUACUCAAUUUUGGAAGAAAAAAUAGAGUGGAGUUGGAGAUACCCUUACCAUAUUCCAACUAUUUGAUCAAGUAAAACUUACGCUCAGUUCAUAUAAACUUGUUUUUGACCCAAAAGAAAAACUUGCUUUAAUCAAUGAUCUAUAGUCACCAAAUAAGGAAACAAAUAUAAAAGUAAAUCGAUGUUACAAUCCAGCCACUUUUUUGUAUUUUUGAUAAUAACUAUUCUUUUUACAAAAAAAGAAAU